GAGUUUGAUCAUGGCUCAGAAUCAACGCCGGCGGCGUGCCUAACACAUGCAAGUCGAACGAGAAAGGGAUUUCGGUCCUGAGUAUAGUGGCGCACGGGGUGAGUGACACGUGAAUAAUCUACCUCCGAGUGGGGAAUAACCAAGAGAAAUCUUGGCUAAUACCGCAUAACACUUACGAGUCAAAGCAGCAAUGCGCUUGGAGAGGAGUUCGCGGCAGAUUAGUUAGUUGGCGGGGUAAUGGCCCACCAAGACGAUGAUCUGUGUCCGGCCUGAGAGGGCGCACGGACACACUGGAACUGAAACACGGUCCAGACUCCUACGGGAGGCAGCAGUGGGGAAUUUUGCGCAAUGGGGGAAACCCUGACGCAGCAACGCCGCGUGGAGGAUGAAGUAUCUUGGUACGUAAACUCCUUUCGAUGGGGAAGAUACUGACGGUACCCAUAGAAGAAGCCCCGGCUAACUUCGUGCCAGCAGCCGCCGUAAG
rnacentral:rRNA from 1 species